CAGCCGCCGCCCGCGGAACGCCGCGGCCGCGGGCCCCCGUUUCCAGCCGGAGCACGUACGGACUCCGGCGCGCUCGCCACGUCCAAUGGGCAGGCUCGGGGGGCGGGACAAAGGGAGCGCGCCCGCCCCUCCCUGCGCUGCUUCCGCGUCAUGGCGGAGGUGCGGUUCGCGUGUUUUGGAACAGUGGGGCGCAUUUCCGAAGGCGGUGGCUGAAGUUUCCCCCCUUUCCAGGGUGGUCCCCGCGGGAUCGCGGCUCUCUCGCGGGCCCCGGGGCCGGACUUUUACCCGGCCCGGAGCGUAGGCCCGGGGGCGCCGGGGUCCCGUCCCUUGUCUGUGCGCAGACUCAGGCCCGCGACCCUCCCGGGGACGGCGCUGCGCUCCGGUCGCGGCCACGUCGUCCCGGUUUCCGGUUUGCUUGAGGCCGCUCGAGCCAGAGGCGCACACCGCGGUCCUCCGCCGCCGCGCCGGAGCUGCACCGCACAGCGCCGAGGGAGAAGGGGUCCCCCACCCUUUGCCUGCGCGCCCACCCGCGCCCGUCCCCCAGCCCGCCGGCGAUCGCAGGCGGCAGGACCGAAAGCCCUGCCUUUGUGGGAGCUCCCGCGGCUGCGGAACCCGCAACGCCAGGAGAACUGGAAGCAUUUUAAAUCCAAAGGAUUAUGCUGUAUUCUUGUGUCUGAACUCCCCGCUGGUACCCAGCUACAAUUAAGAACUAACGCAUUCCCUAGGCCUUCUAAUAGCGCCUUGCAAGGUUUGUCUGGAGAAUGCUUUUUCAUUUGACUGCACCAGAAAUUAUGUAAAUAUAUUUAGUUCAAAACGAAUUAAUCUUGGUUCAUUUCAUAUUGCACUUCAGAGGUUUGCAAUUAUGAGAUGACCCACACAUGAGAAACAAAAUCAUUCCUUACUCACAAACACUUUACUAGCUGCUA
rnacentral:lncRNA from 1 species